CGGGGCAUAGCGCAGUCCGGUUAGCGUGUCUGCUUUGGGAGCAGAAGGUCGUGAGUUCGAAUCUCACUGCCCCGA
rnacentral:tRNA from 1 species